ACAGAUCGUUCAGAGUUUGAUCCUGGCUCAGGAUGAACGCUGGCGGCGUGCUUAACACAUGCAAGUCGAACGGACCUUUGAUGAAGCCUAGCGAUUUAAAGGUUAGUGGCGGACGGGUGAGUAACGCGUGGGUAACCUGCCUUAUACAGGGGGAUAACACUUAGAAAUAGGUGCUAAUACCGCAUAAGCGCACAGUAUCGCAUGAUACAGUGUGAAAAACUCCGGUGGUAUAAGAUGGACCCGCGUCUGAUUAGCUAGUUGGCGAGGUAACGGCUCACCAAGGCGACGAUCAGUAGCCGGCCUGAGAGGGUGAACGGCCACAUUGGGACUGAGACACGGCCCAA
rnacentral:rRNA from 1 species